UUGGUGUGUGCGAAGUCAGGGCACUUCACAACUGCGCCCUGUUUAAACAGGAAAAGCAUGCACCAUUUUGUCCGGGAGGGAGGGAGCAGCCCAAAGUCUCUGCCUUCAGUUCAAUCUCCAGGGGCCCAGACCAACAAAGAAGACGUUAAAAACCUGCAGCCCAGAGAGGGAAGGAAACUGCCUCCCCUGGGCCGUCCCCAGUCACUCAGUUCCAAGGCAGCUGCACCUUCCACAGAACGUUCCAGGCAUGGAAAUGGGGAAAGCCUGUGCAUCAGACUUUGUGAUGAGAUGAAGACAUGCAGGGACUGCCAAGGGCCACACCAUGAGUAAGGAAGAAGCCAGGUAAGAGCUCACCUCUCCCUUGCUCCAGCUCACCUCCACCCUGCCUUCUCAGGCCUUCCCAAACAGAAGCUCCUUCCAAACCCACGGAGCCCCGUUUACCUGGAGAAAGUUUACAUUUGAAAUUGUAGGAACCAGGUGCCUCCCGAAACAGAAUGCUCUCGCCAGGCAAGGCUGGCCUCUCUACAGUUAGACAGACCUCUUCAGGCUAUGAGACCCUGAAGUUCAAAGAGAUUUGGGACUUCUGCAUACCUGUGGUCCUGAGAGCUCCACCAGGUGGCUUGCAAAGAGUAUUAAGGCAGCAUAUCAACAACUCCUCUCAAGGAGGGCAGGGACCUUCGAUGGAUUGGACUCUAGCAAUAUGUUCACCUGUGAAACUUACCAAAGGCUAAGGGUUGAUUCAAAGUGAUAAUGAUCAACCGGAGGAAGGUCAAUGGGUGAAAAAAGGAGACGUAUGUACUACUCUUUGUAAUACUUUAAGCAACAAAAUAAA